AAAGCGUAACAAGGUCUCCGUUGGUGAACCAGCGGAGGGAUCAUUACCGAGUUUACAACUCCCAAACCCCUGUGAACAUACCACUUGUUGCCUCGGCGGAUCAGCCCGCUCCCGGUAAAACGGGACGGCCCGCCAGAGGACCCCUAAACUCUGUUUCUAUAUGUAACUUCUGAGUAAAACCAUAAAUAAAUCAAAACUUUCAACAACGGAUCUCUUGGUUCUGGCAUCGAUGAAGAACGCAGCAAAAUGCGAUAAGUAAUGUGAAUUGCAGAAUUCAGUGAAUCAUCGAAUCUUUGAACGCACAUUGCGCCCGCCAGUAUUCUGGCGGGCAUGCCUGUUCGAGCGUCAUUUCAACCCUCAAGCACAGCUUGGUGUUGGGACUCGCGUUAAUUCGCGUUCCUCAAAUUGAUUGGCGGUCACGUCGAGCUUCCAUAGCGUAGUAGUAAAACCCUCGUUACUGGUAAUCGUCGCGGCCACGCCGUUAAACCCCAACUUCUGAAUGUUGACCUCGGAUCAGGUAGGAAUACCCGCUGAACUUAAGCAUAUCAAUAAGCGGAGGAAAAGAAACCAACAGGGAUUGCCCUAGUAACGGCGAGUGAAGCGGCAACAGCUCAAAUUUGAAAUCUGGCUCUCGGGCCCGAGUUGUAAUUUGUAGAGGAUACUUUUGAUGCGGUGCCUUCCGAGUUCCCUGGAACGGGACGCCAUAGAGGGUGAGAGCCCCGUCUGGUUGGAUGCCAAAUCUCUGUAAAGUUCCUUCAACGAGUCGAGUAGUUUGGGAAUGCUGCUCUAAAUGGGAGGUAUAUGUCUUCUAAAGCUAAAUACCGGCCAGAGACCGAUAGCGCACAAGUAGAGUGAUCGAAAGAUGAAAAGCACUUUGAAAAGAGAGUUAAAAAGUACGUGAAAUUGUUGAAAGGGAAGCGUUUAUGACCAGACUUGGGCUUGGUUAAUCAUCUGGGGUUCUCCCCAGUGCACUUUUCCAGUCCAGGCCAGCAUCAGUUUUCCCCGGGGGAUAAAGGCGGCGGGAAUGUGGCUCUCUUCGGGGAGUGUUAUAGCCCACCGUGUAAUACCCUGGGGGGGACUGAGGUUCGCGCAUCUGCAAGGAUGCUGGCGUAAUGGUCAUCAACGACCCGUCUUGAAACACGGACCAAGGAGUCGUCUUCGUAUGCGAGUGUUCGGGUGUCAAACCCCUACGCGUAAUGAAAGUGAACGCAGGUGAGAGCUUCGGCGCAUCAUCGACCGAUCCUGAUGUUCUCGGAUGGAUUUGAGUAAGAGCAUACGGGGCCGGACCCGAAAGAAGGUGAACUAUGCCUGUAUAGGGUGAAGCCAGAGGAAACUCUGGUGGAGGCUCGCAGCGGUUCUGACGUGCAAAUCGAUCGUCAAAUAUGGGCAUGGGGGCGAAAGACUAAUCGACUUCCAUGU
rnacentral:sRNA from 1 species